UUCUAAUAGAAUACUAAUAAUGCUCUAAUUAGACCAUAAUAAUACUAAGCAAGCUUAAUCAAAUUCAAUAAAGCCUCAAAGAAAUUUUAAACAAACAAUAAGAAUUCUUAAAGAAAUAUUAAAAGGAUCACAAAUAUCACUCAAAUAUAUCUCAAUUCAAUCUUAAUUUAAUUCUAGUUAAAAUCCUAUUGAACUUCAUUAAAACUUUAGGCCAAAACUAAUUGAAUCUUUAAUCAUAAUAAAAUCCUAAGCCGUGAAUCAAACCCUAAACAAACCUUAAACCAAAUCCCAACCAAAUUCUAAACCAAAUCCUAACCAAAUCCUAAAACCUAAAUAAAACCCUAAUUAAAUCUUAAACCAAAUCCUAAUCCAAAUCCUAAUCAAAUCCUAAUCAAAUCCUAAACCAAAUCCUAAAUCCUAAAUAAAACCCUAACUAAAUCCUAAAUCAAAUCCUAAUCCAAAUCCUAAAUCCUAAACCAAAUUCUAAUCAAAUCCUAAAUCCUAAAAUAAAUCCUAA
rnacentral:lncRNA from 1 species